rnacentral:rRNA from 1 species
GACGAACGCUGGCGGCGUGCUUAACACAUGCAAGUCGAACGGAAAGGCCCUGCUUUUGUGGGGUGCUCGAGUGGCGAACGGGUGAGUAACACGUGAGUAACCUGCCCUUGACUUUGGGAUAACUUCAGGAAACUGGGGCUAAUACCGGAUAGGAGCUCCUGCUGCAUGGUGGGGGUUGGAAAGUUUCGGCGGUUGGGGAUGGACUCGCGGCUUAUCAGCUUGUUGGUGGGGUAGUGGCUUACCAAGGCUUUGACGGGUAGCCGGCCUGAGAGGGUGACCGGCCACAUUGGGACUGAGAUACGCCCCAGACUCCUACGGGAGGCAGCAGUGGGGAAUAUUGCACACUGGGCGGAAGCCUGAUGCAGCAACGCCGCGUGCGCGAUGACGGCCUUCGGGUUGUAAACCGCUUUCGCCUGUGACGCAGCGUGAGUGACGGUAAUGGGUAAAGAAGCACCGCCUAACUACGUG